GGAGAGAUGGCCGAGCGGUUUAUGGCAGCAGUCUUGAAAACUGCCGUGGGUUCAUAGCCCACCGUGGGUUCGAAUCCCACUCUCUCCGCCA
rnacentral:tRNA from 1 species